UAGACUAUAGUUCUCUUAGGUAGUAAGUUCGAAAAUGUGAGGAAUUUUGAAUAACAUUUAUACAUUUUGUCUCUCGAAACUCUGGAAAAGUGACUAAUAAAACACACCUGUUAUGCAGCCCAUCUUCGAUCCUAUACCUAAUUGGCGUUUAGAGCCUCCUGGUACUGCGACAGUUUGUAAAUACCGAUUCCAAGCUUUUUGUAAUCCAGAUAUUUAUCAGCCAUCGCUGUUACCAAUGACAAAGCUUUCGGAAAUGUGAACGGGUUGAUAUUCACGCCGAAUACGGUCAACUCCUUCAUGUAGAUCUGUGGAACAGAGACGCCCAAAGAGAGCCGAUUAUUCCGGCGCCGAUCACUAAAAUUCUCGUUCCAAUAGUCACCGGAUUUAUCAUGUCCCAUCCAUGAGCCAGGCAGGACAGAGGCUCGGCGAGUGCGGCUUGGGGUAGCGAAACUCCAUCGGGAACCAGAUGCACCUUGGAAAAACGAGAAAAACAAAACGGUGUACUUCGAACGAGGAUUAUUCAAAUAUUUUCAAUAUAUUCGAUUACCUGUGUCUCCGGGACAACGGCGUGGCUGGACCAUCCACCGUCUCGGAAAAUUCCAAUGGUGUUGUGGAUUCCUCCGCGAGGACAGUAAUGGUAAUUACCGCCGUGACAAUGAUUGCAUGUGUUGCAACCGUCGUUUGGAUUCACAACGACUCUCUGUCCGACCGAAAAUGCGGUGACUUCCGAACCGAUCGACUCCACCAGGCCGGAAAAUUCGUGACCCAUUACCAACGGGCCGUUCUCUUUGCAGGGAAAACUACCCUGAGAAAUAUAAUUCAAACGUCAAAACGGUCGACGGAAAUUCUUCGAACCGUCGACGGUUUUCCAUGUUCGUUUUUACCGGAGAAUAUGAAACUUUGACCAGAACUUCCGUACCCUUCGGCACAGGGACGGCAGCUUUUUUCAACGCCAAAGAUUUGCUCUUAGGAUCGAAACUCAGAAAUUCCAUCUUAUCGACAGCGCUUUCGCCAGCUAUAGCUGAUGAUGGAUGAUUCGGUUGAAAAUGGUGACUCGUAAUACUGGCUCACCGAACGAAUGAAAACUGAAGUGAAGACGGACCGCCGGGAAACGCUUAUAUGCGUUACGGUAUCACUCGGAGAGUUCACCCCCAUUGUCAAUGGUUAUGAUAGUCGUCGGGGAUCUACGAUAGGACUGCAGGUCAAAAAUAAAAAAUGCAACAGCGUCGAAAUGAAAUUCAAUUAUGCGAUACAUGAUAAUCUCCAAUUAUUCCAUCACGGGCGCCUUGCGCUUCCACUGCAUCGUCAGAUGAGGGCAACUCGUGGGUUAUCGGACAUUUUUUUUUUUUUCUUUUCAAAUGUAGUCAUGAAAUUUCAAUCUCCGUAACUUUUGGUUAUUUUAACUCGUUCGGUUGGUAUUUAUACUUCGAUCAACGUCUGGCGACAAUAUAAAGAGUAUAUGAAAAACUCGGUGAAAUUUCAGAAAGUCGCUGAUAACCCAAGAGACAUUGCGAGUUAUCUUCAGUCGUGCAGUAUCACAGCUAAAAAUUCCGGUGCAAUUAAGUAGCCAAUUUUCCCUCGGUAGUAUAUUUAUGUUAUUUAAUUUUAUAAAUUAAGAUAUUUCCGAGAUACGCAGUUGCAGCAGACAGACGAUUAAAAAGCACGCAUCCA